GACGAACCGUGCGAACGUUGUUCGGAAUCACUGGGCUUAAAGGGCGCGUAGGCGGGUUCGCAAGUCUGUGGUGAAAGCCUCCAGCUUAACUGGAGAAGUGCCGUGGAUACUGCGAAUCUUGAGGAGGGUAGGGGCGUCUGGAACGGUCGGUGGAGCGGUGAAAUGCGUUGAGAUGUGGAGGAAUACCGAUGGCGAAGGCAGCCCCCUGGGCCAAUACUGACGCUCAUGCACGAAAGCGUGGGGAGCAAACAGG
rnacentral:rRNA from 1 species